CUCCCCAUUUGCCAGCAAGCUUCAGGAGCCAUCUCUAGCCGCUGCUUUCUCUUCACUCUCCCUAACAAGACAGAAAAGCCCUGUCUGCGUCCUAGCCAGGUGCUCUCCAGCUCCUCUGGAGAGCUUUGGAGCUCUUGCUAUGCAAAAGGAGAAAAGGAAAUUCUUAACGAUCACUAAAAGCAAGACCUAGUCGUAAAUUAACUUUGUGCUUUCUCAGCAGGCCAGAGUUCUCCCUUGCGCUAAAAAGUGACUCAGAUUUGUUGCGCUCUCUUGUAGGGUGCAAGAGAAUCCCGGUGCGUGGUCAGGCUAGUCUCUCGGCGUUAUCUGCUUGAUUGUAAAGAUCCUCAGGUCUUGAGUGAACGUGGCCUUCAACGCAAGCCUUCCUUCAAAUUCUCGUGCAGUCAUGACUGGCUGCUCCAAGGAGGUGCAAAGCACCAUCAGGAGGGAUGAGCGCACGCUGCUGCUCCGUGCUCGGCGUCCCCGGCACCAGCAUUGCUGCAGUACGGGCAGAGCUUUCCCAAAGACCACGCUCUGCCCAGGCAUCUCCCAAGGAAACCACCCCCAUGAGACGCUACCCAACAAGAAGAGAUGCCAAAGCACUUUGCAAGCUACAAACGGGACCAGAAACAAAAGAAAACUCUGCAGCCUCUGUGGUUUUACAGGGCUACUACUGAGCAAAGCUGGGUGAACCUGCCACGCGGUAACAGAUCUCAUCUAAACUACGCACCAACGCAGCCAGCACAGCCGGGACGUACCACGUCCCUGGGCAGAUGUUGGGCAUGGGACAGGCUACCAGAGCAGGUCUGUGCUCGUGGGACAGCCAAAACAAGACCUCUGGCUGAUGGAGGAGCCCAUCUGGAGAAAUCAGGAGUGUGUCCGCUGGCAAACGAAAGGGGAAGUAGCUGCCCGCAGGGGAUGGAAGAGGUGGCACUGGAUGUACCGUGAACAGGGCGUCAGGUCUACACCAGCUAAUGGACACGUGCUGCCACAUCGGAGCGACCGCGGUCGGAAGCAUCUCCUAUUCCGUGCGGUGCUCUCAUGGGUAAGGCCAGCAAUUGACUUCAUAAAGUCAAUUAUCCUGCAACUGCUCUAGGUCCCCAGCAAAUAAAUCACGGUAACAGAUAAUUACA
rnacentral:lncRNA from 1 species